GGAGGGUGCAAGCGUUAAUCGGAAUUACUGGGCGUGAAGCGCGCGUAGGUGGUAAAGUAAGUUGACUGUGAAAGCCCUGGGCUUAACCUGGGAAAGUCAGUCAAAACUGCUUCACUAGAGUACAGGAGAGGGCAGUGGAAUUUCCGGUGUAGCGGUGAAAUGCGUAGAGAUCGGAAGGAACACCAGUGGCGAAGGCGACUGCCUGGCCUGAUACUGACACUGAGGUGCGAAAGCGUGGGUAGCAAACAGGGAUUAGAUACCCUGGUAGUCCACGCCGUAAACGAUGUCAACUAGCUGUUGGACAUUAUAAGAUGAUUAGUGGCGUAGCUAACGCACUAAGUUGACCGCCUGGGAGUACGGUCGCAAGAUUA
rnacentral:rRNA from 1 species